CCUACGGGAGGCAGCAGUGAGGAAUAUUGGUCAAUGGAGGCAAUUCUGAACCAGCCAUGUAGCGUGCAGGACGACGGCCCUACGAGUUGUAAACUGCUUUUAUGCCGGGAUAAACUGCCUUACGUGUGGCUUUUUGCAGGUACCGUACGAAUAAGGAUCGGCUAACUCCGUGCCAGCAGCCGCGGUAAUACGGAGGGUCCGGGCGUUAUCCGGAUUCAUUGGGUUUAAAGGGUGCGUAGGUUGUGCUAUAAGCUAGUGGUGAAAUGCCGCGGCUCAACCGUGGGACUGCAGCGCGGACUGGAGGACUUGAGAUCGGAGGAAGUAGGCGGAAUGCGUAGUGUAGCGGUGAAAUGCAUAGAUAUCACAAAGAACACCGAUUGCGAAGGCAGCCUGCCAUAGCGUAACUGACGCUGAGGCUCGAAGGUGCGGGUAUCGAACAGGAUUAGAUACCCGUGUAGUC
rnacentral:rRNA from 1 species